rnacentral:rRNA from 1 species
AGUGAACGCUGGCGGUAGGCCUAACACAUGCAAGUCGAACGGCAGCACAGUAAGAGCUUGCUCUUACGGGUGGCGAGUGGCGGACGGGUGAGGAAUACAUCGGAAUCUACUUUUUCGUGGGGGAUAACGUAGGGAAACUUACGCUAAUACCGCAUACGACCUACGGGUGAAAGCAGGGGAUCUUCGGACCUUGCGCGAUUGAAUGAGCCGAUGUCGGAUUAGCUAGUUGGCGGGGUAAAGGCCCACCAAGGCGACGAUCCGUAGCUGGUCUGAGAGGAGGAACAGCCACACUGGAACUGAGACACGGUCCAGACUCCUACGGGAGGCAGCAGUGGGGAAUAUUGGACAAUGGGCGCAAGCCUGAUCCAGCCAUACCGCGUGGGUGAAGAAGGCCUUCGGGUUGUAAAGCCCUUUUGUUGGGAAAGAAAAGCAGCAGGUUAAUACCCCGCUGUUCUGACGGUACCCAAAGAAUAAGCACCGGCUAACUUCGUG